GCGGGUGGCCAGUCUAAGAAGCCUCCAUCAUCAAGCUAGCAGAAAUCCUACCUCUCCUUCUGGCUACAGAGUACUUACCAAGCCCAUGAAAUCGAAUGCAGAUCUUCCUAAUGUGAGA